UCCUUUGAUGCAGGUCAGUUAUUUUCCCGCCUUUGCCGUCUGAGUUGACCGGACUUGAUCCUGGUCAAUUUCUGCGCCUGCGUGAUUGGUUAACUUAGCUCCAUCGCAGCAAAGCAGGGGCCAGGAGGCCACAGUCAUGUUUUUCGAUAACGUGGUGUUUGCCGGGGUUCUGACCGUUGGGCUCAUGGUUCUGUUUUUUGCAGGGUUUGGAUUUUUUAUCUGGAAGGAUGCGAAUAAGCGCAAGAAGCCUUAGUCCUUCUGGGUUUGAUGAGCACGCAAGGCAUUUUGGGCAACUUCGGUUGCCCUUU
rnacentral:misc_RNA from 1 species